rnacentral:rRNA from 1 species
GCCAGGAGCAUUGCUGGGUAGCUAUGUCGGGAUGGGAUAAGCGCUGAAAGCAUAUAAGCGCGAAACCCGCCGCAAGAUGAGAUCUCUUUAAAGGGUCGUGGGAGAUGACCACGUUGAUAGGCCAUAGGUGUACUCAUGGUGACAUGUUAGCCGAGUGGUACUAAUUGCCCGUAUACUUGCACAG